UACAGAGGCCUCGAGCGUUAGGCGGAAUCACUGGGCUUAAAGCGUGUGUAGGCGGAUUGCUAAGUACCUUGUGAAAUCCCACGGCUUAACCGUGGAACUGCUUGGUAUACUGGCUGUCUUGAGCCACUUAGGGGCGACCGGAACAAACGGUGGAGCGGUGAAAUGCGUAGAUAUCGUUUGGAACGCCAAAGGUGAAAACAGGUCGCUGGGAGUGUGCUGACGCUGAGACACGAAAGCCAGGGGAGCAAAACGGG
rnacentral:rRNA from 1 species